GCUCCUCUGAUCAGUGGCGAACGGGUGAGUAACACGUGAGCAACCUGCCCCAGACUCUGGGAUAACAGUUGGAAACAGCUGCUAAUACCGGAUACGAGACGGAGAGGCAUCUCUACCGUCUGGAAAGUUUUUCGGUCUGGGAUGGACUCGCGGCCUAUCAGCUAGUUGGUGAGGUAAUGGCUCACCAAGGCGACGACGGGUAGCCGGCCUGAGAGGGCGACCGGCCACACUGGGACUGAGACACGGCCCAGACUCCUACGGGAGGCAGCAGUGGGGAAUAUUGCACAAUGGGCGAAAGCCUGAUGCAGCGACGCCGCGUGAGGGAUGACGGCCUUCGGGUUGUAAACCUCUUUCAGCAGGGAAGAAGCGAAAGUGACGGUACCUGCAGAAGAAGCACCGGCUAACUACGUGCCAGCAGCCGCGGUAAUACGUAGGGUGCG
rnacentral:rRNA from 1 species